rnacentral:rRNA from 1 species
GGAGGCAGCAGUGGGGAAUAUUGCACAAUGGGCGGAAGCCUGAUGCAGCAACGCCGCGUGCGGGAUGACGGCCUUCGGGUUGUAAACCGCUUUCGCCUGUGACGAAGCGUGAGUGACGGUAAUGGGUAAAGAAGCACCGGCUAACUACGUGCCAGCAGCCGCGGUGAUACGUAGGGUGCGAGCGUUGUCCGGAUUUAUUGGGCGUAAAGGGCUCGUAGGUGGUUGAUCGCGUCGGAAGUGUAAUCUUGGGGCUUAACCCUGAGCGUGCUUUCGAUACGGGUUGACUUGAGGAAGGUAGGGGAGAAUGGAAUUCCUGGUGGAGCGGUGGAAUGCGCAGAUAUCAGGAGGAACACCAGUGGCGAAGGCGGUUCUCUGGGCCUUUCCUGACGCUGAGGAGCGAAAGCGUGGGGAGCGAACAGGCUUAGAUACCCUGGUAGUCCACGCUGUAAACGGUGGGUACUAGGUGUGGGGUCCAUUCCACGGGUUCCGUGCCGUAGCUAACGCUUUAAGUACCCCGCCUGGGGAGUACGGCCGCAAGGCUAAAACUCAAAGGAAUUGACGGGGGCUCACACAAGCGGUGGAGCAUGUUGCUUAAUUCGAGCCAACGCGAAGAACCUUAUCCUAGGCUUGACAUGUAUGGAUUAGCUGUUGGAAACUUCAGUGACGCCCUUGGGUGGAACAUACACAGGUGCUGCAUGGCUGUCGUCAGCUCGUGCUGUGAAGUGUCGGGUUAAGUCCCUUAACGAGCGCAACCCCUGUCGUUAGUUGCUAACGUGUAAUGACGAGCACUCUAGCGAGACUGCCGGUGUCAAACCGGAGGAAGGUGGGGACGACGUCAAGUCAUCAUGGCCCUUAUGACCAGGGCUACACACGUAC